AAUACGAGCGCGAAAGGCUUGCUGGGAUUGGCUUGCUUAGAGAUUCCAGCAAGUCUUUCGCGCUCGUAUU